AUUUGCUCAGGGAAAACGUUCACUGUACCGGAUACUCUUCGACGGAAACACAGCAAUUGUGGUGGCUUUUGGCGCAGUUUCAUUAUGAAGGCAGGUUUUUGCCCUCGCAAACAGCGGAUUAUUAUGGAAGAGCGGAAUGAUGAACACUAUGGCGGAGAGCAAUGGAGGCAAAGCUUUGGGAUGCUGGGGGCGUUGGGAUCCGUUGGCGUGUGAAUACAGGAAGCUAACUAACUGCGUUUUCGAGUAUUCUAUUUGGUAAGUACCCUUUUAGUUUUGUAUUGUUUCAGCCUUACAUGAAGUGAUUGUAUUUACUGUAUUAAUUAACACUAGCUAACCUAAUACUAAUGAUUAACCUACAUGUCCGACAUUUUCAUUGUCUUCCGAAAAUAAAUUUAUUUGAUAUUAACCUAUUUUUUUCAUUUUUUUUGGAGCAGGAACCACGAUGGACGGAGUAUUCUCGACAUCAACAUCGGGUGUAAAAUUUAGGCCACCGACUAAUAUUUUCUUUAUUUUUAGGUGAUGACGCGAUUUUCUCCCUCGACCUACUUUCAAUUGAUGACCACUAUGUGUGUUUUGUUUAUUCAUAGCUCUGGUUAGUGAGUACAAAAUGAACGGUCUUACUUGGUAUCGCUGGCCAGCCACGACGGUGUUCCAACGACGGAUGCGACGGUUUGAAGGAUG